UAUUAAUUUCAUUCAAAGACAUUCGUGACUUGUAAACAAAGUAUAUUAAAAUACAUAGACGCGUCUCCUUUCGAAUCCGGUCUACAUUGAGUGCACAAAGGGGUGAAUGUUGAGAUGAAAGACAACAGGGGGUGUGCACUUGCCAAAAAAGCCAGCACAACCCCCCAUAGUCAAAUAACUCGAUAAUGAUCCUUCCGCAGGUUCACCUACGGAAA
rnacentral:misc_RNA from 1 species